CAGGCAAUAAUAACCAACUGCAGAACCGCAGAACCAUUACGUCAUAACAGUCUGAGGACGACAGCGCCAGACCGACUGUUUGAGAGCGGAAGUGGGCGGGGUAGCAGUCCGAUGCCGGAAGUUCAUGUUUAGACGUGUUUGUUUAGACUAGACAGUAAAAGGUUUUUAGACAGUAAAAGAUAAACAUUAAAAGGUUUUUAGACAGUAAUAGAUAGACAAUAAAAUGUUUAACUAUGGCGGAGCACACUGUAGAACAAGGAAAAGAAGAAGAGAAAGAAAAGCACAUAUCUAUUCAGAGAGGGUCAGAGCCUUGUUUCUACCAUGAGCAAGCAGGUGGAACUGAUGUUGUGAUGGAGGACAGUACCCCGGCUGCUUCAAUGGUUACAACAGGUGCAGGAAUGGUUUGUGACAUUAAACAGUUGUCUGCCAGUAGAAGUUGUUGGGAUUUCCAGCCAAGUGAUUGGCAGUCAUCAUUGCUUAACCAGAUUUUGAGUAAAAAUGACAGAGAUGAGACAAUUGCUCAAGUUGGAAGCAUUAAACUGCAGCAGAAAGAUUUCUUGACCUUGGGCCUCAAUGCAGCGCUUGAGGCAACAGUAAGUGGACAAAUAAUGAUUUUUAAAAUAGAAAAAUUUACCAUACAGCUAAUAUAUUUUUUGUUAGUAAUUAACUAAUGUUAUUAUAUAACUAAUAUAUAAUAUAUUUAAAAACCGAUUGCAAACAGCUGUCUUGAUGUGAUCGUCAUGGUGGCUAAGGAAAAGGUAUUUUUGCCUACAACUGUAUAACUCAUGAUCACCUGGAGACGUAAUUGUGUUUUGUAAUGGAUGUGCAAAUGAAUGUUAUGCUUAGGCAACAGAUGUGUUUGCAGCAAAUUCCUUGUAGUUACCUGGCUACCACCACUUGAAUUGGACCCAUUUUUAUCGUUUCCAGAUAACAUAGGAUCCAAGGAUUACAUUCUGCUCCCUGCUUGGAUGCCAGGACACUGAAUGCUAUGUGUAUGUUGUUCCCUUCAUUUUUGGGUGAACUAACUCUUUAAGAUUAUAUGGUGAUAUUAGGAUUCAAUAUACUAACAACUGUAUUUCACAGGUUCUGAAGCCUAAAAACAAGGCUAUGUAUUUUUUUGAUUCAACUCACCCCUACGGGAUUGGUGAUGUAAAAUAUGUGACUGUCUUCAGGUUGCAUUACAUAUAUAAAUAUUAUGUUCAGAGUUCGCAGUUCAAGGUUUGCUGUUCAAAGUUCGUUGUUCGAAAGUUUGCUCUUCAUUGAUGUUCACUGCUGAUUAUUCUGUGCAUGAUGUUCAUUUGCAUGAUGAUCUGCAUGCUGCAUGUUUUUAUAUUCUAAAUUUUAAAUGUUGUUUUUGCAAUUCAGUCAGGGGUAAUUUUUAUUUUUUUUGCUUUUGAGUAAAUAUACUUUGCUUUUUUUGUCCAAUUUUUCUGGUUAUAAUAUAUUAAAAUAUUUCUGUUUGAUUUUGUUGCAGUAAAUUGACAAACAGAAUCGCUCCAGGACCAUGGAAGCUGAUCAAGAACAAGGGAUAACUUAAUGAUAAUUGCAUUGUUUUAGAAUGUUCCACAACAGCUGACUGGCUCUGUGGACUGUGGGAUCUUCAUGCUGAUGUCGGAUUUUCCUCUUAUUCGAAAAUGGUGGUGCCUUAUUCUCAUGGAGAAUUUUGCCAUUGAAAGGAAACAUGCUGCCGUUGAUGUGCAGGAGCCACCUAAAGCACAAGAAGACACCGAAACCGGCGACAUGGAACCACAGAUGGUCAAAGACCUCAGGACCGCAGUUGGAUGGCUGCGGGACAACUGCCACUCCUUCAGAGGUUCUGUGCAAGAGCCGUCAUAUCUGGACCUAAAGAAGGAAGACCAGGAAGAGGCCCUUCUUAAACUUGAUCGGGCGGAAAGAAAAGAUGAUCUGGAACUGGCCAAAAAGCCUUUCAUGUUUCAGUUCCAGUUUCAACAGGACAUGGAAGUUUUUCUUUUCGAAUGUCACGACGAAAGGCACCUCAGAAUAAACUCCAUGUUUAUGGAGUUUUAAUUUGUUAUUUAUUUUUCUCUUGAGAAUUAUUGAUGUAAAAUUUGUGCCUGUAUAACUUUUAUAAGAUUUAUUUUCUUUGGUUUAAUUUGUUUUAUAUAAUUUAUUUAUCUAGUUUGAUUUUGUAAUUUUAUUUAAUUAGAAAACAGCUAGUGUGUGAUUUUAUUUAAAACUCAUUUUAUUUAAAUUAAUGUUUUUUUUGUUUUCAGUCCAUUAUAUUAUUGUGUAUGGUGGUCUAUGUUGUUUGAGUAUUUAAAGUUAUUUUCAACUGAAUAAAAUGUUCAAACUCUCAA